CCUACGGGUGGCUGCAGUGAGGAAUAUUGGUCCCUUGCCGAGCGGCUUCCCCCUCCAAUUCGCUUUAGUGAAGACGGCCCUACGGGUUGUCAACCUCUUUUGUCGGGGAGCAAAGCGAACCACGUGUGGUUCAUUGAGAGUAACCUAAGAAAAAGCAUCGGCUAACUCCGUGCCAGCAGACGCGGUAAUACGGAGGAUGCGAGCGUUAUCCGGUUUUAUUGGGUUUACAGGGUUUGCAGGAGGAGGUGCAAGUCAGCGGUAAAAUUGCGGGGCUAAACCCCGUACUGCCGUUGAAACUGCAUCCCUUGAGUGCGCGAGAAGUAUGCGGAAUGCGUGGUGUAGCGGUGAAAUGCAUAGAUAUCACGCAGAACUCCGAUGGCGAAGGCAGCAUACCGGCGCGAAACUGACGCUCAUGCACGAAAGCGUGGGUAUCGAACAGGAUUAGAUACCCCUGUAGUC
rnacentral:rRNA from 1 species